CAGUCGCCGCGGUAAAACGGAGGGUGCAAGCGUUAAUCGGAAUUACUGGGCGUAAAGCGCACGCAGGCGGUCUGACAAGUCAGAUGUGAAAUCCCCGGGCUUAACCUGGGAACUGCAUUUGAAACUGUCAGGCUGGAGUCUUGUAGAGGGGGGUGGAAUUCCAGGUGUAGCGGUGAAAUGCGUAGAGAUCUGGAGGAAUACCGGUGGCGAAGGCGGCCCCCUGGACAAAGACUGACGCUCAGGUGCGAAAGCGUGGGGAGCAAACAGGAUUAGAUACCCCAGUAGUCCCUGUCUCUUAUAA
rnacentral:rRNA from 1 species